GGGCCUGUAGCUUAGCCCGGUUUAAAGCGCCUCCCUGUCACGGAGGAGAUCGCCGGUUCGAAUCCGGUCGGGCCCG
rnacentral:tRNA from 1 species